ACCUCGGGGCCGCUCCUCGCGGUGCGCAUGCGCACAGCCGGCGGCCGCUCCGCGACAGCGGGAGUCCUCAGAGCUGCGUCAGCGGUCCGGGGCCUCGGGAGUUAUGCCGAACCUGAAUUUUUUCAUUGAAGUGCGCCCUACAAGGUUGGUUCUAUCUGAGAAGACUGAAACAUCACUCCAGUGCUCUCCAGCACAACUGGUAAAGCAAACAGCAUUUCCUGAUGUGUUGGAUGCGGGUUGUGAGAAAAGAGAGGAAUCAAGGAUGAGAACAAGGUUGUUCUGACUGACAACUGGAAGGACGGAGUUGCAAUCAACUGAUUUAUGAAACAUUCUGGGAGCAAUGUGUUUGAAGGUUUUUAAUCAACUUCCUGAGGGCUGUGACUGGGAAGAAGGAGCCAUGACAAUCUGGGAAAGCGCAGGCUCUGUACUCUGGUCCGCCAUCUGCGUGAGGACUGAAGUGGCUACAGCUUCUGCCUUG